rnacentral:lncRNA from 1 species
CUGAUUAUGGUGCCCAAUUUGAAGUGAUUUGGAUAUGUGGAUACUCGUAAAAAUCCUCCAAUGAAUCCUCUUCAGUUUAAGACCCAUAUGUCAACUUUUGACAGAUGUCCUAAAAUAAAAUUGGCAGGUGCUAGAAAUUAGCAGGUGUUGUCUUAAAUUUAUCUCAUGAAUUAAGACAAGCCUUUUCUGAGCUGGACAAGCUUCAAUUAGACUGAGAGAAACCUUCCC